GGAGGGGUGCCAGAGCGGCCGAAUGGAAUCGCCUUGAAAGCGAUCGCUGGUGAAGAGCCAGCCGCGGGUUCGAAUCCCGCCCCCUCUG
rnacentral:tRNA from 1 species